rnacentral:rRNA from 1 species
AGGACGAACGCUGGCGGCGUGCUUAACACAUGCAAGUCGAACGGAAAGGCCCUUCGGGGUACUCGAGUGGCGAACGGGUGAGUAACACGUGGGUGAUCUGCCCCGCACUUUGGGAUAAGCCUGGGAAACUGGGUCUAAUACCGAAUAGGACCAUGGGAUGCAUGUCCUGUGGUGGAAAGCUUUUGCGGUGUGGGAUGGGCCCGCGGCCUAUCAGCUUGUUGGUGGGGUUAAGGCCUACCAAGGCGACGACGGGUAGCCGGCCUGAGAGGGUGUCCGGCCACACUGGGACUGAGAUACGGCCCAGACUCCUACGGGAGGCAGCAGUGGGGAAUAUUGCACAAUGGGCGCAAGCCUGAUGCAGCGACGCCGCGUGGGGAUGACGGCUUCGGGUUGUAACUCUUUCAGUAGGACGAAGCGCAAGUGACGGUACCUACAGAAGAAGCACCGGCCAACUACGUGCCAGCAGCCGC